rnacentral:lncRNA from 1 species
CAGACAGGACUAGGGAGACAGUGGCCCCAGAAGCAGUUUAAAAUUUUUUUAUUAUUUUGAAAAGGGAUUACAUUCACAUGUUUCAAAAUCCAAACAAGAUAACACAGCAUAGAGAAAGAAGCCUUUCCGCCUUCCUACUCUGUAACCCUGCUUUUCGUUUCCUGUGUGUCCUUUCAGAGCUCCUUUUGCUUUCAAAAGCAAAUACAAAUACGGGCAGCUUCUGAAUGGAUGGCCAAGUGACUCUGGAGCUUCCGCGCUGUGUGAGGGCUGGGCUUUCUGUCCCUGUUCACCCUCGAACCCAGGCUUCAGCCACCGCACGGGAGAAGAUGGUUCAGACCACACCUCUACCCUGACUCAGCACACACAGCUGUACCGUCAGGGGCUGCAAACCAACAUCUCUCAGGGCCUUCCUGGAAGCUGCGGCUGGACUCCCCUUGUACUCCAGGGGAGCAUCCCUGGAGGCCCAGGUCGGGGCUCCUGGAGGGUCCCUGGGUUCUGGGGGACAGAAGAACAGGGAGGAAGAAUCCAGAUGUGGCUCACUGGGCUCUGUGGAUCUGGCACUGGAACAGCUGUCCAGGCUUUGGGGCCCCCGACACCCCUGCUGCUCUCCCUCAGGCCCCAGAUCUGCUUGGGCCCCCAGUGGGCAACCGCUCGGUGCUGGCCCACCACAGGGAAAUAUUCCGGUGGAGGAACACGCCCCAACCCCAAUUGUGCUUCUCCAGAUAUCUGCGGCUGAAGGCGCCUGAAGAGCAGCACCACACAUGAGCCCUCACCGGCACCAGGGAUCCCGUCUAGCCUCAUGCAGAACAACCACCCACCUCCACAAGAGGUUGUUUUUUGGGGGGUUGGGGUGGGGGAGGUGUCCCUCUGGGAGUCUGGGUUUUAGAAAACAAUACCCAAUAUAGGAGAAAUGGAUGCCCAGAGGACAGAGGAUGAAGAUGAGCCCAGAUGAAAGAGGACUAUCGCAAGGGGUAAGUCUCUCCACCUCCCUCCCAGUCACACAGGGCCCUUGGCUUUGAGCACAUGCCCAUCCCCCUAAAAGCUGGUUCCCACUCUUUAACUCCAGAACCUGGGGAACACUGCAGCUUUAACUAAGCCCUACCCAGGGGCUCACACUUAAAUUGUCAGGGGGUGAGGAGGGGGGCAGAGACAAGAACACCACAGGGUGCCUGUCCCUGCCUUCGCUAAGCCCCUUCCAGGAGGGGCAGCUGGGUGCUGCUGGGAUCCCCGAUGUGAGUCUGUGCCCUCUUUCAGCACGGUUCCAAGGAGUUAUUGGUCUCUCCCCGGUGCCACCCUAUACCCUCCCUCCCACCUCGGGCCACGGGUAGAAAGCAGGAAGGACAGGCAUGCCAUCCCAGUAGACCUGCUGCUAGUGCCUUCCCAGAGGCGUGAGGAUUUUGAGCUCCUCCCUGGCUUAUACAAGGACAAAGGGUCUGGGAGCAGCUGGCCCUCUUCUCCUCACUGACACUCUGCGCUGGAUCUGGGGAAGCCCCAGGCUCUCUGCCGCCUGGGUGUCCCGGCUCAUUGCUCCCUGGGCAUGGGAGGCACCAGUGCUGAAGCCACUGGCAUAAUGACCAACAGGGUUGAGCCCAGAGCCGCGGGCCAGGCUGGGCUAUGCGCCCUCUGGCUGCCCAAACCAAGCAGAGGACUGAGGGAGGGCUGGGCGAGCAGGAAGGGGCUGUCCAGAUGCCACAGCCCCUACCUCAGGGCCUCCUGCACUCCCACCCGCUCAGGGCAGAGCUCUUCCCAUCCUCUCAGGCCCCCUUCUGCCCCACCCCAACCCCAAGGCCU